AGGUUGUAGGCGAAGGACUCAGAAUCCGUGCCCACUCACACACUGCUUAUUAUUUUCUGCCUUCCAAUCCCAUAACCAUUUUAUCUAUCUUGGCUUUCUUUGUUUGUUACAAACAAUUCUGGUUCAUUCAGGUCAGGGGAGAGAGUAAUGGUAAUUUGAGUGAAGAAUUGGGGUUUGGUUGCAUGCUUUUCCACAGCUUUCUUGAACUUGGCUACUCUCUCUGGCUCUGCAUGCCUUCUCUUCUCUAUUCCUACUGGAAGCAUUAAUCCUCAGUCAGUGGAUAUGAAGCUCAAGAAAGCUGUGGGAAAUCAUGGACGCCCCAUUUUUAUUUUUAUUUUUUCUUUUGCUUCUUUGUUUCUCGGCUUUUGGGCUUCUACAAGGAGUAAAAGGAGGGAGUGAUGAGAUUUGAGAAAGGGUAGAAUUGUCAGUUUAUGUUUUUUUGUUUUCACAACACCACUCAUACAACGGAUUGGAAAUGAUGGGACUGUUGGUAUGUUUGAUUUGAUAUCUUCAUUUACUUUUCUUUUUUAUUUUUUUAACAAUUAAUUCAAAGCAAACAAGGCAAAUCAGAAGGCACAAAAGACUAGAAGCGUUAGUAGUGCGGUGGUUGUUUUUGACUUCAUUUUUUUUAGUUAUGUGAUUGGAAGUUUAACAUAUAUUUAUGAAAAUAGAAUGUACGUUUAUUUCCUAAAAAAAUACUAUGGCAAAAAAAUUAGUUAC